UGUAGCUCAGUGGUAGAGCGCAUGCUUAGCAAAUGCCUGAGGUCCUGGGUUCAAUCCCCAGUA
rnacentral:tRNA from 1 species